GUAGGUGGCAAGCGUUGUCCGGAAUUAUUGGGCGUAAAGCGCGCGCAGGCGGUUUUUUAAGUCUGAUGUGAAAGCCCACGGCUCAACCGUGGAGGGUCAUUGGAAACUGGAGAACUUGAGUACAGAAGAGGAAAGCGGAAUUCCACGUGUAGCGGUGAAAUGCGUAGAGAUGUGGAGGAACACCAGUGGCGAAGGCGGCUUUCUGGUCUGUAACUGACGCUGAGGCGCGAAAGCGUGGGGAGCAAACAGGAUUAGAUACCCUGGUAGUCCACGCCGUAAACGAUGAGUGCUAAGUGUUAGGGGGUUUCCCGCCCCCUUAGUGCUGCAGCUAACGCAUUAAGCACUCCGCCUGGGGAGUACGGCCGCAAGGCUG
rnacentral:rRNA from 1 species